UGCUUACUUGAAUAUUAGUUUAAAAAGAAACCAUAUAUGAAUCUUAACUGUGUUCUGUGUUUUAGGAAAAUCUUGCUGAAACACUAACCAAAGACUCUUGGGCUAUUAGCUUACAUCUUAAGAUAUAAGAUUCAUAUUAUAAAGAUUCAAGGUUUUGAUUUUCAUUCUGCACCAUUCUUCUGCCUGUUGUCUGUCCAACAUCUGAACUUAAGAGUAUCCAAAAUGCUCGUCCAUUUUUGGUCCAGAACAUCUGGAGGAUAUCAAAUGCAGCAUGAUAAACAAUGCACAAAUAAUAAAAUCAUUUAUCCCAAUGACCAAGCGUGACUGAUGCAAUCAUGGAAGAAUUUGUCUCCCCUGCCAAACCCCCAAGUAAGAUCUGUGAGUGCUUUGCGAGGACAGAAUAAUAAAACUACGUGGAGGAAAUUGGAAAACUGAAAGAAAAGAUGAAAUAGAGGAUUUCAAGCCAUCCAACUUGUUGGAAAUCUGAAGAGCAGCAUUCUGCCAUUUUCCCCCUUUGUAUCUUUGAAGCACUUCUCUACUUGAUGCAUUUUUUUUUUAUUCUGUUUUUCCUCCCUGCCAGAAUAUUUAACAUCCACUCCAGAUUUAAUCUCCCAGCAAGAGCCAUGGUGGCUCCAGCGCUCAGAGGAAAGGGAGAAUCGAGAGAGCCGGAGUCUAGGCAAGGGACAAGUUGAACCCUCUCGGAUCCUAUCUGAGGGAGAAUCUGAAGGCCACAAAUCACCCAUCGGCCCUGCUCCCUCUUACAAUGGGACAAGACCCAGAGAUGCUUGUGACAACGUGACGGACGAAAACUUGGCAGAAAAUCAGCCACAGGGUGGCCUUAUGAUAGGAGAAGGCGGUGGUGUGUUACCAUGCAGCUCUAAAAGAGAUGGUUCCCUGCAGCCCAGGGGAACUUUUAAAAGCAGAAACACUUGAGGAAAAGAAUGGACUGAAUCCGGUUCGUAGGAUCGACGGACUUCACUUAAAAACCCAAACCAUCCUAUUAGGCUUUGUGGCUUUUUUCUCCAAGAUGGUGGCCUUCCCCCUGGAUGGCAUUUAAUUCUCAUGAAUGGCCUAGCUGGCUGGGAAACUCUGGGAGCCAGAGGGCUACCCAUUUUGAACAAAUUAGUUUAUGGCUGUAGAAACCAUCCCAAGAGAUUCUGGGAAGGUUUUUGUUUAUUUUAACGAGUUGGAAAAGGGAGAAAGGCAUGGUUUUGGGAUCUGUUUUGUCUCUUGCAUUGCAAAGGUGUCCUUGAAAGCUCUGUUUGGGCCAUAGCUUUUUUUAAAACACUGGCAGGAAGUCAUCUGAUUGUAACAUGAGGAACAAAUUAACAGAGUUGGAAGGGACCUUGUAGGUCAUUUAGUCCAACCCCCCACCUAAACAGGAGACCCCAUACCUGUGAUGGUGAACUUAUGGCAUGUGUGCCACAGGUGGCACAUAGAGCCAUUGCUGCGGGCACACGAACCCCAGGCAAACUUAUCUCAUUGUGCAUGCGUGCGCCUCCCAGCUGAUUUUCGGGCCUUUUUCGGCCUGCCAAAGGCCUGAAGGAAGCCUCUGCAGGCUUUGCAGGCCGAAAAAUAGGCCCAUUUCAUCACUUCCUGUAUUUCCAGAAAUACCUGAAAUGAUGAAACGGGCCCAUUUUUCAGCCUGCAAAACCUGCAGAGGCUUCCUUCAAGCCUCUGGCAACCCGAAAAAGGCCUCAAACAGACUGAAAAUCAGCUGGGAGGCACAGUGCAGGUAAGGGAGCAGUGAGGGGGGGAAUCGUGUACACAUGCACAGGGGGUGUUGGGGGGACCCCAAAAAGGUUAGCCACCACUACCCUACACCAUUUUGACAAAGUCUCUUCUUCUGUGCUCCUUCAUACAAAUAAAGAUGGAAACUUAUAUAUCAAGGGUUCCCAAACUUGAGCACUUUAAGACUUGUGGCAUAGCUGGCUGGAGAAUUCUGGGAGUUGAAGUCCACAAGUCUUAAAGUAGCCAAGUUUGGAGGCCUCUGAUAUAGAUGGUUAUAUGUCUAUGGAGAUUCUCAGUCAUCCAAGUCAUGGUUGUCCCAAAACUGCUUUUUUUUUCAAGAGGCAACUGAUCUUUCUUUGUUAUUUUUUCUUUGAAUAUAUUUUGCUUCUUAUCUGAUAAGCUUCUUCAGCUCUGACUGGAUGGUGGGGAAUGGAAGGAUUUAUCUUCCUUGCCAGACAGUUAGUCAUUUGCAUACUCUAGAGAGUCCUUGAAGCCCUUGUAGGUUGAUCUGUGUCCUCAGGGUUGCCUGAGUUGUGCUAAUGGUUCCUGUUGGAGUUUGCAAUUCUCAUCCAAGAAGACAAAACUUCUCAUCCAAGAAGAUAAGUGAAACUUCUUCAAAGAAAAACUGGCAAGUCCAGUUGCCUUUUGAAAAAAAAAAAGCACCCUUGAGAUAUAUGGUUAUAUUUUAGUCUGGAGAAAUCCAGAUAAACCUGCGCUGAAAUGGAGCAAUGGAUUAGAGAACCAGGGUGGGUAAUUAAUUUUCCAAAGAGUCCAUAUGAGAAACCGAGACUGUUGUGGAGGGCCGAACCAAUAAGGUUCUGAAGGUACAUAAAUGUGCAUGGAUACACACACAUAUUUUUUUUUUAAAAUAGUUGCUUUUAAAAUCAAAAGCAAUCUACACAGGCCAGGCAGGGACAACUGUUAGGAAUGUAAGUCACCUAACAGUUGGGUUGGAAAAUAUAUAAACCAGGAUAGAUAUUUUAAUACUGUCUCUUUAAGGGAAUGCUAAAAUUGU
rnacentral:lncRNA from 1 species